rnacentral:rRNA from 1 species
GAUGAACGCUGGCGGCGUGCCUAAUACAUGCAAGUCGAGCGAACGGACGAGAAGCUUGCUUUUCUGAUGUUAGCGGCGGACGGGUGAGUAACACGUGGAUAACCUACCUAUAAGACUGGGAUAACUUCGGGAAACCGGAGCUAAUACCGGAUAAUAUUUUGAACCGCAUGGUUCAAAAGUGAAAGACGGUCUUGCUGUCACUUAUAGAUGGAUCCGCGCUGCAUUAGCUAGUUGGUAAGGUAACGGCUUACCAAGGCAACGAUGCAUAGCCGACCUGAGAGAGUGAUCGGCCACACUGGAACUGAGACACGGUCCAAACUCCUACGGGAGGCAGCAGUAGGGAAUCUUCCACGAUGGGCGAAAGCCUAACGGAGCAACGCCGCGUGAGUGAUGAAGGUCUUCGGGUCGUAAAACUCUGUUAUUAGGGAAGAACAUAUGUGUAAGUAACUGUGCACAUCUUGACGGUACCUAAUCAGAAAGCCACGGCUAACUACGUG